UAACACAUGCAAGUCGAGCGGUAGAGAGAAGCUUGCUUCUCUUGAGAGCGGCGGACGGGUGAGUAAUGCCUAGGAAUCUGCCUGGUAGUGGGGGAUAACGUUCGGAAACGGACGCUAAUACCGCAUACGUCCUACGGGAGAAAGCAGGGGACCUUCGGGCCUUGCGCUAUCAGAUGAGCCUAGGUCGGAUUAGCUAGUUGGUGAGGUAAUGGCUCACCAAGGCGACGAUCCGUAACUGGUCUGAGAGGAUGAUCAGUCACACUGGAACUGAGACACGGUCCAGACCCCUACGGGAGGCAGCAGUGGGGAAUAUUGGACAAUGGGCGAAAGCCUGAUCCAGCCAUGCCGCGUGUGUGAAGAAGGUCUUCGGAUUGUAAAGCACUUUAAGUUGGGGAGGAAGGGCAGUUACCUAAUACGUGAUUGUUUUGACGUUACCGACAGAAUAAGCACCGGCUAACUCUGUGCCAGCAGCCGCGGUAAUACAGAGGGUGCAAGCGUUAAUCGGAAUUACUGGGCGUAAAGCGCGCGUAGGUGG
rnacentral:rRNA from 1 species